rnacentral:lncRNA from 1 species
CCCGUGACCACGCCCUGUUGCUGGUGAAGAUCAUAUUGAGGCAUUGGAAAAAGGAGCUCCCUCCAGUAUGCAGAUGACUCAAUAUCCUGAGAAGGCACCUUUAUUUAUACUGGAAGAUCCUGCAGAUACCUGCCUAACAAAACUCUGCUAUCCUUAAUGCUGUGGACUAGAAGGUACUUGAUGCUGAGAUGCAGUGGGAAUGCCCAGUAAAGAAGGAGUCCAUUUCCAACCAAAGAAUGUCUUUAGAUCUAACCUGAAUCACAAAACAAGUAGACAAAGUCACUGUUCGGGACACUUCCUAGAACAGGUUGCUCAGACCCCUUCAAUCUGUAUGUUGUGAAAGUCAAAGGAAUAAAAAGACAAAAGUGAGAUGUUGGGAAGCUCCAAAUUAAAAGAUAUCAAAGAGACAUGAUAGGCCGGUGACUGGGGCCUGCAUCCAUUCAUUAAGGAAGGGAGAAAACAGGGUAAGAGGAAGAAGGAAGAAAGAAAUUGUCUAAUGAGGACAAUUAGAGGACAACGGGAAAUCAGAGCAUAGUCAUUUUAUUACACAGUAGUUUUGUAUUGGCUUGAAUUCCUUGACCAUUCAUUAUGAAGGGGAAUGCAUGUGUCUGUUCUUUGGAGACAUCCAAUUGAAAUAUUUUGGAUGGGAAAUGCCACGAAGUCAGAAACUUUCAAUUGAAAGGAAAAGGACCCACAUGAAGCCCAAGCUGCACUUCUGCUACAGAUGUGUGGAGAGGCCUAAGUCCAGCCCCUGAAUGUACUUUGGUUGGUGCUUCAGUCUCUGAGAGCCCCAAGGGUCCAGUAACAGCUGCUUUCAAGGUCAAGUCUGGAAUGUUCCAAGGCACUGGACAUGAGACAUUCAAGAGCCUGGAGAAGAGACAAACGUUGUCUGUGCAAGGCCAGAGACAAGUAAAGGAGCCAUGGCUACAGUUUGUGGACCAGUAGUCUCUGGACCCCCAGUCUUCAGACUCUUAGGCCAGGGCUUGAGUCUCAGAUUUUGUUGUUUGGCACAGUGAGUGAGCUGGGCAUCGAUAUGGAGUCAGGUAGAAUAGAAAACAGGACUUACACUGAUACAUUACCUUGGUAAAGCUGUUGUGAGUGAAUACAAGGUUGGAUGAAUCAAGAACCCUUGGCAACAAUUGAUGCUCAAGAAGGAGGUGACUGUCCGAGAAGUAAUGAUGCCACAUCAAGUUGGCUCAAUAAAGAUGCGCUUUGUGCAUUUGCUUGCUUCAGAACAACAAGUAAUCAGGCUCCUUCCACCCCACUCAAAUGUUUGCAGAGGGGUGUUUGAUCAGUUCAAAUGUUAAUUUAGAAAUCACAUAUAUGGCCACUGUAACUGGAACACUUUCAGUGUUCUUUCUGGAAUGCUGUGGUAUGAGUUUGCUGAUAAAUGCCAGUGUUUGCAUCCAUUAUAAGGCUGGUGAGGACCAGUAGUUUCCUAGGCACAGUUUGAGAUAAACUAAAAAAUAAAAAGAACCAUUGCCCUGUGCCUAGAAAAUGUCA